AUGCAUUUAAUUUUAAAAAUUUCCUUAUGUGGUUCAUAGAGGGAGUUGUGAUUAUCAAGCCUUCUUGCCAUCAAUAAGGGUAGGUCAUUUUUUUUUUGUGUAAAUGUUGUUGGUUUUGUCCCAUUGGCUUUGGUUUAUUGUUCGCAUGGUGAUUUUCUUUUUUGCCUUUUUGUUGGCAGACUUUAAUUGCAGUUCGGUGGGGUCAAAGAUUGAGCCAUUGUUUAGUUGUUUUGUGGUUGAAGCUCUUUUAUCUAGGUUUAGAGACUUCUAUUCUGAAACUGCUUGCAUGUCAAUGAUGUGGCAGCUUCAGGAAGGGGACGACCUUACUGUUUGUCGACCUUACUGUUUGUCGUUUGGUUUCCCUCCAACUGAAAGAUGGUGAGUCGGUGCAAGUGAAUAUUAGGGUUCAGUCAAGAGGUUUCAGCUUGUUUUGGUUUGAA
rnacentral:lncRNA from 1 species